CUCCAGGACUUUCAUCCUCCACUUCAUCUU
rnacentral:piRNA from 1 species